ensembl:lncRNA
AAAAAUAUUUUCCGCAAGAAGGCACUUCUAUUCCGCAUUGAAGGUGAGAGACAAGAAGUAAUGCAAAUUUCGGAGUGAAAUUCAAGGAACGAAAAAAAAUAGCUCAUAUUAUAAUGUCACACAAAAAUGUGUGAGAUCAAUGUUGUUUCAAUAAAAUAUCAUUAUGUUACAAAUAUUUACACUAAAUAUUUAUAGUGUAGGCCUACCCUACAUAGGUGAAGCUAUGUAGGGUACACAGGGACUCAAGCUAGAGCUGGAAACCCACCAGCAGACAGAACAGACACAGACAAGGAGGGAUACAAUUAACACACUAAAACCUGAGAUCAAAAAUCUUGCUUUUAAUGAGCUGUGUAGUAUGUUGUAUGUCCAGGUGAGGGUCCUGCUCUGGAAGAAUUGAGUGUUGAAUGUACACCAUUCAGAGAUCAAAUUUUAGAUUUUUAGAUUUAUUUAUUUUUAAUUACGGUCAGAAACCGUAUGUUGGCAUGCAAACCACCUGACUGCAAUGCACUCAGGUGGUGUAUGCAUCAAAUUAAACACAAAGCCAAACAAAAGGUUAAUUGGCUAUUACACUAUACUAAACUAUAUUAUAGGUUUCACUAUUCUAUAAUGUUAAUGUUGCCGUUCUGUUUUGUAAUGUUAUAAACUAGGCCCUACAUGUCUUUGUCAUAAAGUAAUUUUCUACAAUUUCACAGACAAUGAACUGUAUUAUGUGCGUCGCAAGGCGACAUCUACUGCCAGUACAACCAAAGUUGUCUGUGGAAAAGAGGAGGCAAAGGCAAUUUUCGCAGAGUUCCACAGCAGCAGUAUCGGAGCGCACUGUGGGCAGCGAAAGACCAGAGAUGCCAUCUCUGCCAGAUUUUAUUGGCCUGGCAUGUCUUCAGAGAUUGACUCAUGGGUGGCACAGUGUGUUCCAUGCCAGGCCAACACAACGACCAUAAAGCGUGAGGUGGAGUAUAUACCCAUCACAGUUAAAGAGCCAUUUGAGCUGGUCGGAAUGGACCUCAUUGGGAAGCUGACAGUCACCGACAGAGGGAACCAGUACAUUUGCGUCAUGUUGGACUACCUCACUAAGUGGCCACAAGCUUAUGCCCUUCCAUCGAAGACAGCAAAAGAAGUCACUGGGUGUCUCUUGAAGUUUGUGCACCAAUUUGAAGCACCUAAGAGAGUCCUCACAGACCAGGGGACGGAGUUUGUAAAUGCUGUAGGUUUCAUAUGUACAGUAUAAGCUGGACCACAGGAUUAAGUCACAAGUGCUGCUGGCUUGUUUUGUCAUUUCAUGAAAUUGGUUAAAUACUUUCUUACACAAUGUCCUUAACUGUUUCUCUUGUCAUUCUUUACUAAUAACAGCUCAACAAAAAUGUUUGUGAAGUAUUGCAAAUCAAAAGGAGUCUUUGUGCUCCGUAUCAUCCACAAACCAAUGGUUUAGUGGAAAGGAUGAAUGCAACCAUACAGAGAGCACUUUGCAAACUGGUGGGAAACAACCCCAAGGAAUGGGACAUGCAUCUCGAUGCGGUAAUGUUUGGCCUAAGGACAAAAAAACAAAUGACCACUAAUUUCUCGCCAUUCUAUAUGAUGUUUGGAAGAGAGGCGCGAUAUCCAUCCCAGAUCCCAGAGCAGUACCAGAUUGACAGCAGUGUCGAGGACGCUGUGGCCAAAGACAACCUGACCGACUCUGCCCUCAAUAUCAGCAAAAUUCUCUCGUGUGCUGAGGGGAACACCAAGAAAGCACAAGAGAAGAUGAAGAGGAUGUCCCAAAAAUCAUCGAUGCAGAAAUUCAAUGUUGGUGACAUGGUCUGGAGGUUGAACAUUAGGAGCCGGCAAAGGAAAGGAGGCAAGCUGGACCCCAAUUUCCUGGGGCCAUACACUGUGUUGUCAGUUGAGAACAAAAGUGCUGACUUGGUGGACGUGAAUGGUGUUGUCUUUCCAAAGAUCAAUAUUGACCACCUGAAGCAUCACCAUGCACAGAGUCCUCACAUCCCCAAAAUUUGAAGGUAAACCUCAAGCUAGCCGGCACCACAUUGGCAGCAUCCACCCCACCAGCAUCCACCCCAGCACCAGCAUCCACCCCACCAGCAUGCACCCCAGCACCAGCAUCCACCCCACCAGCAUCCACCCCAGCACCAGCAUCCACCCCACCAGCAUCCACCCCACCAGCAUCCACCCCAGCACCAGCAUCCACCCCACCAGCAUCCACCCCACCAGCAUCCACCCCACCAGCAUCCACCCCAGCACCAGCAUCCACCCCAGCAGCAUCCACCCCACCAGCAUCCACCCCACCAGCAUCCACCCCAGCACCAGCAUCCACCCCAGCAGCAUCCACCCCACCAGCAUCCACCCCAGCAGCAUCCACCCCACCAGCAUCCACCCCAGCAGCAUCCACCCCAGCAGCAUCCACCCCACCAGCAUCCACCCCACCAGCAUCCACCCCAGCAGCAUCCACCCCAGCAGCAUCCCCAGUCACAGACCCAGCUAAAUGUGUAGAAGAAGCUUGGCAGGGAACAGAUGUCUAUGUGCUGCUCUCAAAAAUAGGGCCAUACCUAAUCUUCUUUGCCGACAUCGCAAGAACCGCUCCAGAUAUGGAGUUUGAGAGUGAGGUCAUGAAUGCCUACAUGCAGCUACUGGUGCGAGACUUUAAUGCGAAGUCAACCAACAGGGCUAUGGCAAUAGACACAUUUGAGAUGUCCAACAUAUGGAAAAGGAAACAACCAAAAGUGAAGGUUAGGGAAAGCUUUGCCUGCUCCAAUACUGAACUGAUGUGUCUCUACAAAGUUAUGAACUCCAUAAAUAAUUGGAACUUUUUAUUCUUUUAGCUGGAUCCACACAUGUACAAGUACAUCCUUGGGAUCAUCAAUGAGAACCACCACUGGAAACUCACUGUCAUGAUCCCAUCACAAAAAAAGGCUCUCUUACUCGAUCCUCUUGGGGAAUCCAGUACCGACAUAAAUAGGUGCAAAGAUGUAACAAGAGCCUUCAUGAGACUUAGGGGGAUCAAUGUGUCCAGAUGGGGAUGCGACACAGUCCCACACCCUCGUCAGACUGACAGUACCUCCUGCGGGCCCUUUGUAUUGAAAUUUGCUGAAUGUAUCCUUAAAGGUGAAAACUGCAAAUUCAAUACAUCAAGAAAAGGUGUAGGGGAAAUGCGAAGGGCAAUCGCAACUGCUCUCCUUGAGAAUACUGAUGACCUGACUGAGGUAUGCCACCAAUGUGGACAGACAGACAAUCCAGAAACAGACGAGGACGUACAAUGGAUUUCCUGUGAACGGUGCCAACGCUGGUAUCAUCAGAGCUGUGCAAAACAUAUGAUGGAAUCGCCACACCUCUGUCUAGCCUGUAACACAGACAGGACAGCCAGGAGAGAGAGGGCACUGGCACGCUAGGUGGGAGUGGUGGGCGUGACAUACUGUACAUCAGUGUACCAGGUAGCUUUUGUUGAUUUUCUAUAUAUUGAACUUAUUUUGUAUUUAUUGUAGUUGGUUUGGCUUUUUGUUUUUUCUUUUUACAUAUGUUGUUCUAAGAAAUUGUUUAUAUUUGUUUUAAUUGUGUUAAUAAAUGUUUUGUUCUGAAUGUUUGAAUUGUGUUAAUAAAUGUUUUGUUCUCAAUGUCAGUGUAAAGUCUACUUCCAGCUAACCCUUGAUCACGCCACCAAUCCCUUGAAUGCAACUCACUCCUCAGAUCACAUCACAGCAAUUCUAGUCACCCGUGCAUUCACAUCACUCCCUCUAUUUAGUUCAGUUCAGUUCACCCUUUCCUUUGUGAGGUAUUGUUUGUUUUCACCACAACCGUACUGUGCCUUUUCAAAAUAUUACCUAUAUAUAAUGAAUUACCCGUGCAUCAACCUGUUUGCCUGACUAACGUAGUCUCCGACUCCUAGCCUGCUCCCGCCUGGACUUCGCCUACCCAUCAAAUUUCCUGUGUAUGACCCCCUGCCAGUCCCUUGACCCAUCUCCAGCCUCCUCCUUGGGAAUUGUGUUAAUAAACUAUUAUGCUCUGCGUUUGAAACCCAUUCUUGGCAUCCUUCGUAUUCAUUACAGUCAGGUUAAGUUGUUUACAUGUUGCUUGGCAACGCGCUACGCCC